UACAGAGGGGGCAAGCGUUGUUCGGAAUUACUGGGCGUAAAGGGCGCGUAGGCGGCCUUCUAAGUCGAACGUGAAAUCCCCGGGCUCAACCCGGGAACUGCGUCCGAGACUGGAAGGCUUGAAUCCGGGAGAGGGAUGUGGAAUUCCAGGUGUAGCGGUGAAAUGCGUAGAUAUCGUUUGGAACGCCAACGGUGAAAACAGACAGCUGGGAGUGUGCUGACGCUGAGACACGAAAGCCAGGGGAGCGAACGGG
rnacentral:rRNA from 1 species